ACGCUCGACACCUACGGGGGCAGCAGUGGGGAAUAUUGGGCAAUGGGCGCAAGCCUGACCCAGCAACGCCGCGUGAAGGAAGAAGGCUUUCGGGUUGUAAACUUCUUUUGUCAGGGAACAGUAGAUGAGGGUACCUGACGAAUAAGCUCCGGCUAACUACGUGCCAGCAGCCGCGGUAAUCUGAGCGGGCGUGGCAAGGC
rnacentral:rRNA from 1 species